rnacentral:rRNA from 1 species
AUGUACAUCCCUACAACAUAGUGUUAAUUCACCAGAUCCCAUUAGAACUCCGUAGUUAAGCAUACUUGGGCUAGAGUAGUACUGGGAUGGGUGAUGACUCGAGAUGUCCUAGUGUUUUACAUG